AUGAAAGAUCUUGGUGAAGCUUCGUAUGUCCUCGGCAUCGAGAUUCAUCGAGAUAGGUCCAGAGGAACGUUAGGACUAUCUCAAAAGGCAUACUUUGAGAGAGUACUGAAAAAAUUCAAUAUGCAUAAGUGCUCACCCUCACCUGCUCCUAUAGUUAAGGGCGAUAAGUUUGGGACAUUUCAAUGUCCGAGGAACCAAUGUGAAACUGAUCAGAUGAAGUCGGUUCCUUAUGCUUCAGCUGUUGGAAGCAUCAUAUAUGCUCAAGUGUGUACACGCCCAGACUUAUGUUUUGUAACCGGGGUGCUUGGCAGAUACCAAUCAAAUUCAGGACCGGACCACUGGAAGGCCGCAAAGAAAGUCUUGCGUUAUAUGCAAGGAACUAAGGACUUCAUGCUUACAUAUAAAAGAACUGAUAACCUAGAAAUUGUUGGUUAUUCAGACUCUGAUUUUGCCGGGUGUGUGGAUAGUAUGAGAUUCACGUCAGGCUAUAUAUUCACACUCGCGGGAGGAGCUAUAUCGUGGAAAAGCUCCAAACAAACGUUAACUGCUGGAUCUACGAUGCAAGCAGAAUUUGUAGCAUGUUAUGAGGCCACCGGGCAGGCUGUAUGGCUAAAGAAUUUUAUACCCGGACUUAAAGUGGUUGACAGCAUAUCUAAAGCAAUUUUAUUGUACUGCGAUAAUGAACCAGCAGUUUUCUAUACGAGUAACAACAGGUCAAGUAAUGCUGCCAGACACAUUGACAUAAAGUAUCGUGUUGUGAAAGAUAGAAUCCAGGAUCAAACAGUUGAUGUUAAACAUAUAAGAACGAAGCAUAUGCUUGCGGAUCCGCUAACAAAAGGCUUACCACCCAGUAUCUUUCGUGAGCAUGUUGCCGGCAUGGGACUACUGGAGGCCUGA
rnacentral:rRNA from 1 species